rnacentral:lncRNA from 1 species
CCUCAAGUAUAGACAACCAAUCAUACUAACUGAACCGUUCGGAUGCAUCACAUACAUAAUCGAUUAAACAGGUUAACAUCAUACAAACAAUCCGGCCGAUUAAGCAAAUCUGAUUAUAUGUCCGGUUGAUCAAUCAAACAUGUUUGGCCGAUUUGCUAGCCGAUCAACAACAACAUCUAAACAAUCAUGACAAUUCAAUCCAAUUAUAUUUGCUAAACCUACCAUAUCCGAUUCAUAACAACAUACAAGCAACAUCAUGAAAUCAAAGCAUCGUGAAAUCAAAGCAUCGUAAACAACAUCACACACUAACCGGAAAUCUGGAUUACGGAAUGAAAUCCUUCGAACAGGGGAUGGGUCUGCUAUGCCGUCACACACACACAAUAGAACUAGGGUUUUUGAAACUAACUGAUGACUUACAUGCAUUCACGUAUUUAAAUCGUAUCACAGGAAUGGGCCAAGCCCAUUAGAAAGACUGGGCCGAAAGAUGUCGAAGGAUAGAGUCCUUGGUCGAAGGAUAUGUUUCGAGAUCCUUCGAACCGAAAGUUGAUCCUUCGAAUCGAAGGAUAUGUUUCGAGAUCCUUCGAACUGUAUGUCAUGUUUCCAAGUAAUCACAUAUGGGCAAAACGACAAUUCGUUUCAUUAA